CAAUAUAAGUGAUGGCGACCGGCGCACGGGUGAGUAACACGUAUCCAACCUGCCGAUAACUCGGGGAUAGCCUUUCGAAAGAAAGAUUAAUACCCGAUGGUAUAAUCAGACCGCAUGGUUUGAUUAUUAAAGAAUUUCGGUUAUCGAUGGGGAUGCGUUCCAUUAGUUUGUUGGGGGGGUAACGGCCCACCAAGACUACGAUGGAUAGGGGUUCUGAGAGGAAGGUCCCCCACAUUGGAACUGAGACACGGUCCAA
rnacentral:rRNA from 1 species